rnacentral:rRNA from 1 species
CGACGCAUAUCGGAGGGGUAACCCACUGGUAUGACGGAGCGGCGAACGGGUGAGUAACACGUGAGCAACCUGCCCCACAGAUCGGGAUAGCCCAGGGAAACCUGGAUUAAUACCGGAUGCCCUCGGAAGAUCGCAUGAUCGUCCGAGGAAAUGCUUUUGUGCUGUGGGAUGGGCUCGCGACCUAUCAGCUAGUUGGUGGGGUAAAGGCCUACCAAGGCAUCGACGGGUAGCUGGUCUGAGAGGACGAUCAGCCACACUGGGACUGAGACACGGCCCAGACUCCUACGGGAGGCAGCAGCAGGGAAUCUUGCGCAAUGGGCGAAAGCCUGACGCAGCAACGCCGCGUGGGGGAUGAAGGCCUUCGGGUUGUAAACCCCUUUCAGGAGGGAAGAAAUUGACGGUACCUCCAGAAGAAGGACCGGCCAACUACGUGCCAGCAGCCGCGGUAAUACGUAGGGUCCAAGCGUUAUCCGGAAUCAUUGGGCGUAAAGAGCUCGUAGGCGGUUCAACAAGUCGGCUGUGAAAGUCCGAGGCUCAACCUCGGAAUUGCAGUCGAAACUGUUGUGACUCGAGUCCGGUAGAGGAGAAUGGAAUUCCCGGUGUAGCGGUGAAAUGCGCAGAUAUCGGGAGGAACACCAGUAGCGAAGGCGGUUCUCUGGGCCGGCACUGACGCUGAGGAGCGAAAGCGUGGGGAGCAAAC